rnacentral:lncRNA from 10 species
CAUUCUUUCAAGGAGUUUUGUUGUGAAAGAAGAAAUAACAGCAAAUAAGUACAAGAAAGAUGAGAGCGAGAGAGAGAGAGACCGUGAGCGCAAGAAUUACACCCGGUAUGGAAGACGACUCUAAAUAAUGAACUUCUCUUGAGGCAAAAGAGAUGCCCCUCGAACUAACUGAGCUUUAACUUAAUGGAACCCAGACAGGAGCUGCAUGAUCCAAC